UACGAAGGGGGCUAGCGUUGCUCGGAAUCACUGGGCGUAAAGGGUGCGUAGGCGGGUCUUUAAGUCAGAGGUGAAAUCCUGGAGCUCAACUCCAGAACUGCCUUUGAUACUGAGGAUCUUGAGUUCGGGAGAGGUGAGUGGAACUGCGAGUGUAGAGGUGAAAUUCGUAGAUAUUCGCAAGAACACCAGUGGCGAAGGCGGCUCACUGGCCCGAUACUGACGCUGAGGCACGAAAGCGUGGGAGCAAACAGG
rnacentral:rRNA from 1 species